rnacentral:rRNA from 1 species
UACGUAGGGUGCAAGCGUUGUCCGGAAUUAUUGGGCGUAAAGAGCUCGUAGGCGGUUUGUUGCGUCGGCUGUGAAAUCCCGAGGCUCAACCUCGGGUCUGCAGUCGAUACAAGCAAACUAGAGUGUUGCAGGGGAGACUGGAAUUCCUGGUGUAGCGGUGAAAUGCGCAGAUAUCAGGAGGAACACCGGUGGCGAAGGCGGGUCUCUGGGCAACAACUGACGCUGAGGAGCGAAAGCGUGGGGAGCGAACAGG